UAGGUAUUUAUUUUGUCCUAUAAAUAGCGCAAAGGUUGGCAGGUUGCGUGACUUCCUGACGUUUGAUCCUUUCCGUCUCCUUCCGGUGCUGUGACCCUGAAGCGCUAUAGCGAGAGAGAUAACCCCCUGAUGCAAGAGUGUGAGCGCGUGGGCUGUAUGUAAUAUUAUGCAAGUUGCGGACGCUGUGUUUCGCCUAUAGCAACGAGCCGUAUCACGCAGGGCUUCUAUUCCACUCUAUUAUGCAGCGUUUCUAGUCCACUUUUGGAUUACGGCAGAGAUCUUCCUCUGUGGAGUUCUAUGCAUAUGGACCUCUGAUGUCUAGGCCCUGCUGUUUUGCUUAAAACUUAUUUUUAUAUAAGUUUUAAGCUGAUGGUCAUAUGCUGAUGUUUGUUUUGAAGUUAUUUUUUUAUCUGUUAUUAUUGAUUUUGUCAGCUGUGUCCUGUUUGUACCAACCGCUAGGGGUCUAUAUGAUGUGUGGAGAAAAGGGGAGUUUUUAACCCAUUUUUCUAUAUUCUAGGGGCCAGCCUGC